rnacentral:rRNA from 1 species
AUGCAAUUGCUUAGGCAAGCCAUAGGGUCGCCAAGGGGCUUAGCCAUAAGCACUGAUGCUGGGCAGGCGGUGAUGACAGGGGUAAAGGAAGUUUUCCCAGAGGUAGAACAUAGGGAAUGCAUGUUUCACUUGGUGUCAAACUUCAAGAAAAAGUAUCACGGAAAGGUAUUUGAUGACCAUCUUUGGGCUGCUGCUUACUCAUGGAACAAGUAUAUAUUUGAGAAAAAUUGGGUUGCAAUGGAGACAGCAAAGCCAACGGCAACUACAUAUCUUAGGAAGUGGCACACUAGGUUGUGGACUAGGAGUCAGUUCUCAACCAUUUGUAAGGUGGACUAUGUAACCAACAACCUGGCAGAGUGCUUCAAUAAAUGGAUUAAGCACCACAGGUCCUUGAACUUUGAUGACUUAAUGGACAAGCUUAGGCAGAUGAUUAUGAUCAUGUGGAAUCGAAGGAGAAAAGUAGCAAAGAAGUUAGCUGGCUUAUUAAUUUUGCCCCACAUAAUGAAGAAGUUGAAUGCAAAGAGUAGAGAGUUAAACUUGGAGGUGGUAGAAAGCUCGGAAGAAGUUGCUGAAGUUACUCAAUUGGGAGGCAGCGGGUUUAGGUUUGUCGUCAACUUGCAUGGCAACACAUGUUCUUGUAGACAAUGGCAAGUUUCCGGCCUUCCUUGCAAGCAUGCUCUAGCAUUCAUCACAUCACUUGUUAAUGCACAUAUACAGAAUUAUGUGGACUCGUAUUACUCCAUUGACAAGUUUAGGGCAGCUUAUGGCCAACUAAUCCCUGCUAUGUGUGACAAGACCCAGUGGCCUGAAUCUAACCAUGGAUUCUUCAUGCAUCCACCCUUGUUAAAAGUUGUAGCUAGUCGGCCCCAAACUGAGAGGCAUAAGGGUUGUGGUGAGAAAAAAGGAAAAGUGGCCAGCACUUGUGCCCUAUUUGCAAGGAAUACGGGCACCAUUGGCAUAAGUGCAAGAAGGGUAACAAAGAUGACAUUGCUGCUUUCAUGGCUGUGA